rnacentral:lncRNA from 1 species
AUAGACUCCGCCUCUGCUAUGUGUGUGGGGACAGACAAAGUGACCGAAAAUCAAAAACAGAAAUAAGUCUAGUUACGACCAGAUAGAUUUUGGACUGACGGAGGAGAUGGCACGAUACUUGAUACUUAUUCUCGUGCUUUGCUUGCUGGCAGGUGAGGAACUCUUGUUUCGCUGUGUCCCAGAUCUGAAGAGUUCUGCUCAGACUGAGGUGAAGGAUGUGAGAUGAGGAGUGCGAGAGACAGUCACUACACACUGGACGUACCAAACUACACAGAGGCGAUCCCAUACUAUGGACAUAUGGUCCAGUCAGUCCAGAAAAAAAGAAUGGCUCAGCUGAGCAUAGGUGUGAAUAGAACAGGCUUUAGUGAGAAGUUCAGAGACAGACUGCAGAUGGAUACUCAGACUGGAUCGCUCACCAUCAGAAACCUCAUCAUAAAUGACUCUGGACUUUAUAAGCUACAUCAUCAGCGAAGAGAUCUCAUUCCAGAGUUUCAAUCUAAAUGUCUAUAUUCCGGUGUCCUCAUAUCAGGAACCUCAGUUUACCAGUCAGUCCAUCGAAGUAAGAGCUGUUCAGUGGUGUGUUCUGUGGACAACCGGAGAGAGGUGACCCUGUCCUGGUAG